rnacentral:lncRNA from 1 species
CCAAGGGAAAAGCUCGACCAAUAGGUCCAAAGAGGCACUGUAAUCAUGUUAGUCCAAAAAUAUCUACCGAUAUAUAUAUCAUCAUGUUAUGAUGCAACUAACAGAUAACAUGCCUCACAAUAUGUAAUAUGAACAUUAUGCAAUUCCUGUAACUCAUGCAAGUAGAUCAGUUAAUUCUACUCAUUAUUCUUAAUCAUUCUUUAUUCUUAGCCAUUCUUUAUCGCUAAUCGUUCUUUUCCAUAUUAGUUGUCCUUUAGUAUUUGCUAUUCUUUAACAUUAGCCAUUCUUUACUAUUUAUUCUCUACUAUUACUAAGGGCACUCGCACCUUAGCCAUAUUAUAUAUAUAUGUCAUUCUUUCCUAAGGUUACUUUACCUUAGCCAACUAUGACAUUCGACUCGGUCUUGAGUCAAUCAACUGCGGAUAAUCCGCUCUUUGCCCGGCUCGAGGUGAAGGAACUCUCACACACACCUCAGCCUUCAAUCCACAUACUACAUCGCCCAACGGGUCGCCCAGAGCUGCGUACACUCGUGGUCAGGGAUCUUCCCGGUGGGAGAGGAAUAUGCCACAUGCACCCGCGGCCCAAGACCCCCGAUAGGGAGGGGAAUAUGCCACACGCACCCUAGCGAACUAAGAUUCCUGCUCAAUCUCAAGCCUCGCAGUUCUCCCGGUGGGAGGGAAAUAUGCCACACGCACCCGCGGCCAAGAACUGUCGAGCUCAUAUGCUGCACUAGCAGCCGCUGCACUCGCAGCCGGAAUUCCGGAAUCCAUAUUACAUAACUCAAGGGUUGGUCUCACCCUAUAUUAUCGACCUAUCUAGGUCCAAGUCUUUGUUCAACCUAAGUUAAUACUUUAGGUUCGAUGUCGAUAUGUUCAUAGCCUAGGUUCAUUAACACUAGGUCCAAUGUCAUUUUCCUUCUAGGUCCACUUGACCCUAGGUUCAAUGUCGCUAUAUUCAUAACCUAGGUUUACUUGACUCUAGGUUCAAUUCUCAACCUAAGUUCAAUACAUUAGGUUUAAUGCCACCCUUGACCAACCUAUGUUUAUUAACACUAGGUUAAAUGCCACUCAAUCUUUCCUAGGUUCACAACACUAGGUUUAUAUCAUUCAUGUUCAACCUAUGUUCAAGACACUAGGUUAAAUGCCACUCGAUCUAAUAUACAUAGAUUGUCCAAUCGAGCCUUACACAUUAGUAUUUUUCCUUUGCCAUGUUCUCUACUCACUCUAGAGCUAACAAUCCAG